UAACUACGACCCUCUUAUUUACACUAUUUUUGAUCAUUGUUAUUUUGUCUUUUACUGUGAUUAUGUAAUAUGUGUUUCAACAAACUCGUAAUUGGCGUCCGUAAUUUUGAAAAAUAAAUAAAAUAAAACUUUAACGAUUGCGCAAUAAUGAUAAAAACGGAAAUCGAAUUCGCUUGAAAUCCUUCAAUAAAAUAACUGGUUCAAAUAUAAAUCACCCUGUAUAGGUAUAGAUUACGUCUAAAAUAACGUCACACAACGUAAUAUUGAAUAUUUCGCUAUAUUUUGGUGAUUACUAAAUAAUAUAUAAUUAUUUAUCCCGAAUCGCACGCCACACACGCGCGUCUCAUUACCUUUAUUGCGUUAUAAUAUAU